AAUCGAAGCCGUUCACAGAUCCAGAACAUGCGUAGCUGAAUCCUUUUUGUUCACUUCGAGAUAUGACCGUACCUGAGCCUUCGAUCUUCACCCCGAGAGUUCUUCUCAAUCUGUUCUGGGCUAAGUCCUUCCAUUUGAUUGAACGAGUUGUAAGAUUAAAUGUUAGAAUUCAGAUUUGAACUGUUUGCUGUUAUCUGGAGUAGUGAGAUUAUUAGGAGCAAUAAUUGAUAAUCAUAUGUAAGCUCAAGUCGACGUUUACAUCCUCUGGUUGAACUGAUUCUGCAUCUGAAUUCUGAACCAAGUUUAGUUAUUGCUAUUGAUUUGAGUCAGUUAAAUUGAAUUGGACCGAGUUGGUCAUUAGUAGAGGAAUUGAAUUACUGAUUAUUACCCGGAGGCCGAAUCAAUUAAUACUUGCUGUGAAUUCUUUCGAGUUGAAUAUUCGCAUUGAGUAGGCUUACAAGUUGUGAGUCAAGCUGUUCUUCGAUCCACCAACCUCUGUUACUAAAUAGGCAAGGAGGGUACGGAUUAUCUCUAAGGGAACAUUCUCACCAUUUGUCUCAAGUGUUAUCAUUGUACUCAACUCUUUCCGUAAUCUACAAUUUCCUCUCUGAAUAUAAAAGCGAAACAUAUAAACAGUAGUUUAGCAUUAAAUCAGAAAUUUAUAGAAAUAUUUUUCCUCCGUUUACAAUCUUUAAUUUGUUAAUUUGUGGUUCUUUGGACCUUUUAGGAACUUUAGUAUCAUUCAGCUCCUUUGAGAUAUGACCUAGGCUAGAUUCUUACAGUACAGCAUUUUAGCUUGGUAAUUUUGUUAAGCACUACGACAUGCUUUUCAGUGUUCUGUUGCGAAGCCUGUGUCGAAGAGAGGACUAUGAUAUGGCAGAAAAGCUAUCACUGCUGGCAUUUUCUAUUGAAAAUCAUCAAAAUGUUGAUCUUGAUUUGUACAAUGCUGUUAUUUUGGGCGUUUAUAAAAGGAGCAAGGUUUCAGAAGCCUUUGGUUCAUGCUAUUUAUUGAUGGAGAAAGGCUUACAUCUGGAAUUGACAUGUCUAGAUGAACUAAUGUCCGCUCUAGAGGCUGAAGGAAGAUCAGAUGAAGCUGCAUUUAUAUCUAAGAGGAUGCAAAGGCAAGAAUUGUUAGGCAGCUCUUCACAAAAAUAGGGACUCAUUCUCACUGCUUCACAAAUAUGAUGCAAUAGCAGCAGCCCAUUAAUCGUUCUGUGCUUCAGACUUUUCAAGAUGAAAAUUCAUCGCCACCCCAAUCGAGCAUGAUGUGCAUUAGUAAGUUACCUUUCAUUCAUCAUUUGGAUUGAAAAUUGUCAUAAAAUAGUGAAUGGUUUCCUAUUCAUUCUAUUCCAAUCUUGUAAAAGUAGUAGGGUACGAGGCUGCUGAUCCUUUUGUUUGUUUUGCGAAGAGAGGCUAGAUCUCUUGAUUGUAUUUCCCAAAGCAUUGCAUGUAAGCAUUGCAAGUAAUGGCUCUUCAGUCCCAACAGAGAACGACUUAUAAUGCCUUUUGAAGUUAAUAUGCAUUGGUCCCUUCUCACUUUUCAAUGACCAUUAUCUGUUGUAAGUUGUAACCUCUCUCCUAAUUGCUACAAGGAAAUCAAGGUCAAGUUCACAGUGCAGGUGACCCUGAAUCCUCGUUGGAUGCUUCAGAUCAAGCAGCAUUGACAAACCUGAGUGAUGUACUACGACACCUUCCUGUUUUUGCAUUGAUCGUCUUUCAGAGGAUAUAUAAUAUUGAUUUGAAGUUGAUUUGAAGUGUGUCUGGUGUGACUCUGGUUUCAUACUGAACCAAUAUUGAACAAUGUGGUCGAGCUAGUAGCGAGGGCCUGGAGAAACUUUCAAGAGGUCUUACAUCUGAAACUUCGUAUCAUCAUUGCUCAGGAAAGACUAGCUUGCUUACUUUGUUCGUGCGCAAAGAAGGCCCGUUGAAGUGCAGGUGAAAAAAGUUGAGUUGAUGGUCUUUUAACUUUGUGAAAGGAUGUAAAGGGAAACUAAGAAGAGCACUUAAAGAAAUUAUAGAAUGAGAUGUUAUGAUGAAUGAGAUAUUAAAGUUUAGCAGCGUUGUGCUAUCCAUCUAGUUGAGUUAAUGAGAUAAAGUUGCUUGUUCUUCUUGUUAAA